rnacentral:rRNA from 1 species
AUUGAACGCUGGCGGCAUGCCUUACACAUGCAAGUCGAACGGCAGCACGGGAGCAAUCCUGGUGGCGAGUGGCGAACGGGUGAGUAAUAUAUCGGAACGUGCCCAGUAGUGGGGGAUAACUGCUCGAAAGAGCAGCUAAUACCGCGUACGACCUGAGGGUGAAAGGGGGGGAUCGCAAGACCUCUCGCUAUUGGAGCGGCCGAUAUCAGAUUAGCUAGUUGGUGGGGUAAAGGCCUACCAAGGCAACGAUCUGUAGUUGGUCUGAGAGGACGACCAGCCACACUGGGACUGGGACACGGUCCAGACUCCUACGGGAGGCAGCAGUGGGGAAUCUUGGACAAUGGGCGAAAGCCUGAUCCAGCAAUGCCGCGUGCGUGAAGAAGGCCUUCGGGUUGUAAAGCGCUUUUGUCUGGGAGCAAAUCCUGGCCUCUAAUACAGGUCGGGGAUGAGAGUACCAGAAGAAUAAGGACCGGCUAACUACGUGCCAGCCGCCGCAGUAACAC